GAGAAUUUGCUUCACUUUUCGCAUGUUAGGGUAAUGAGUAGCACCAACCCUGACUCUAUAGUGUUAAAUGCGAUAUGAGUGCCAACAUUAAGGGAGAAAUUGGUACUUAACCUAAUAAAAAUAAAAAANGUUGAAAGAAUUGAAAAAAAUAGAAAACAAAUUCCUGCCCUCUUUAACCAUUGUAGCUAUAGUUGUGAAAAUUCAUUGUGUUAGCUACUAUACAUUUCCCCGAUCAAUAUGAUUCUAUACUAUAUGGGCACGUUUGGUUGACCUGAUUAAAGCCCAUGAUUUACUAAUGC
rnacentral:lncRNA from 1 species